rnacentral:rRNA from 1 species
UACGUAGGGUGCGAGCGUUAAUCGGAAUUACUGGGCGUAAAGCGUGCGCAGGCGGUUUUGUAAGCCGGAUGUGAAAUCCCCAGGCUUAACCUGGGAAUGGCAUUCGGGACUGCAAGGCUGGAGUGCGGCAGAGGAGACUGGAAUUCCUGGUGUAGCAGUGAAAUGCGUAGAUAUCAGGAGGAACACCGAUGGCGAAGGCAGGUCUCUGGGCUGACACUGACGCUCAUGCACGAAAGCGUGGGGAGCAAACAGG